rnacentral:lncRNA from 1 species
CCUGGGAGGCGGAAGUUGCAGUGAGCCAAGAUUGCACCACUGCACUCUAGCCUGGUGACAGAGCAAGACUCCGUUUAACAAACAAACAAAAACACACGUAUGCGACUCAGCUAUAUCUUGUUAAGAUCCAAAAAUAGUGAAAAUCAAUGAAUAAGAAAAGAUAUUUCUAACCAAACAAAAUCUGGCAUACUUAUAUUAGUAUUAUAUAAAGAAAACUUAAAAGCCAAAGGAUGGAAAAAGAUGUUUCUAUGCAAAUGAAAGUUGGUAUACUUACAUUAGCAUCAGACAAAGAAAACUUACAGACAAUUCAGGGCCAUUUCAGACAUAAUCCUCUCACUUUAUUUUUAUUAUUUUAUUUUAUUUUGAGGAUAGGGUCUCACUAUGUUCUGGCCACUUGCUUUCCUUACAGUCCAGGUGGCACUAGGAUAAUUUUCUUAACUCCUCAAAACUUCAAUUACUUCAUGUAUAGAAUGGAAAUCAUAGUAUCUAACUGAUUGCAUUGUUGUGAAUCUUAAAUGAGAUGUCAUAUUCAGAAAGCUUUACCCAUAGAUAUUAAUAUACUUGUCACCUUUGCUUUGCUCCCUCCACUCAUAAUGUCCCUAGGACUGAUCUUUCCCUCAUUCAUUACCCUUCUAAGUGAAAGAUUAAAGGACUAAGUAAGACCAAUGUCAUAAUAUAUGCAGAUGCUUGCCCUAUCUCAGGCAUUUACUCAAUUUCCUCGAUGUCCCUGCUCUGGUUAUAGUCUGGGUAACUUAGAUGCCAAGCUUACCAGUCAGAAAAUCUAUAUUAUUCCUUUUUUUAUAUAUAGCCAGUCCUGUUGCUACUGCAUUGUUUUGUGUUCACUGCACACCAGAUCACUAUUAUUAUCAUA